CCCUUAGACGUUCUGGGCCGCACGCGCGCUACACUGACCAGUGCAACAAGCAUCCGUCCUUGGCCGACAGGCCCGGGCAAUCUUUGAACGCCGGUCGUGAUGGGGAUAGACUUUUGCAAUUUUUGGUCUUCAACGAGGAAUUCCUAGUAAACGCAAGUCAUCAACUUGCAUUGAUUACGUCCCUGCCCUUUGUACACACCGCCCGUCGCACCUACCGAUUGAAUGGUCCGGUGAAGCCUCCGGAUUGGCGCGCACCUCGGUGCCGCCGAGAAGUUGGCUAAACCUUACCAUUUAGGGGAAGGUGAAGUCGUAACA
rnacentral:rRNA from 1 species